rnacentral:rRNA from 1 species
AUGCACGCUGGCGGCGUGCCUAAUACAUGCAAGUCGCGCGAACAGACGAGGAGCUUGCUCCUCUGACGUUAGCGGCGGACGGGUGAGUAACACGUGGAUAACCUACCUAUAAGACUGGGAUAACUUCGGGAAACCGGAGCUAAUACCGGAUAAUAUAUUGAACCGCAUGGUUCAAUAGUGAAAGACGGUUUUGCUGUCACUUAUAGAUGGAUCCGCGCCGCAUUAGCUAGUUGGUAAGGUAACGGCUUACCAAGGCAACGAUGCGUAGCCGACUUGAGAGGGUGAUCGGCCACACUGGAACUGAGACACGGUCCAGACUCCUACGGGAGGCAGCAGUAGGGAAUCUUCCGCAAUGGGCGAAAGCUUGACGGAGCAACGCCGCGUGAGUGAUGAAGGUCUUCGGAUCGUAAAACUCUGUUAUUAGGGAAGAACAAAUGUGUAAGUAACUAUGCACGUCUUGACGGUACCUAAUCAGAAAGCCACGGCUAACUACGUG